UGAUUCGAGGGCUAUCUGGCUGAGACAUCUGUCACCCCAUUGAUCUUCAGGGUUGAUUCGGCUAAUCUGGUUGGCUUAGCAGGUGUCCCCUUCCUUCCUCACUGCUCCAUGUGCAUCCCUCCCUGGUCGAGGACGGCCUUCUCCAAUAGAGACUGACCAGUCUUUGGUGAAGGGUAUAGGGGUAGCUGCGCUUCCCCGCCUGGACCUCCAAACAAAUUCACAAGAAAGACACAGGGAAGGGAAUAUAACAUGCAGCACUGCUCCAUUGCU
rnacentral:snRNA from 1 species